rnacentral:rRNA from 1 species
UACGUAGGGGCGCAAGCGUUAUCCGGAAUUAUUGGGCGUAAAGAGCUCGUAGGCGGUUUGUCGCGUCUGCCGUGAAAGUCCGGGGCUCAACUCCGGAUCUGCGGUGGGUACGGGCAGACUAGAGUGAUGUAGGGGAGACUGGAAUUCCUGGUGUAGCGGUGAAAUGCGCAGAUAUCAGGAGGAACACCGAUGGCGAAGGCAGGUCUCUGGGCAUUAACUGACGCUGAGGAGCGAAAGCAUGGGGAGCGAA